rnacentral:rRNA from 1 species
AGCGAACGCUGGCGGCAGGCUUAACACAUGCAAGUCGAACGGAUCCUUCGGGAUUAGUGGCGGACGGGUGAGUAACACGUGGGAACGUGCCUUUUGGUUCGGAACAACACAGGGAAACUUGUGCUAAUACCGUAUAAGCCCUACGGGGAAAGAUUUAUCGGGACUGGAUGAGCCCGCGUUGGAUUAGCUAGUUGGUGGGGUAAUGGCCUACCAAGGCGACGAUCCAUAGCUGGUCUGAGAGGAUGAUCAGCCACACUGGGACUGAGACACGGCCCAGACUCCUACGGGAGGCAGCAGUGGGGAAUAUUGGACAAUGGGCGAAAGCCUGAUCCAGCCAUGCCGCGUGAGUGAUGAAGGCCUUAGGGUUGUAAAGCUCUUUCAGUGGGGAAGAUAAUGACGGUACCCACAGAAGAAG